rnacentral:tRNA from 1 species
GGACUCCUAGCUCAUCGGAAGAGCGCCACGUUUGCCCGUAUUGAGCAAACGGGGAGGUCGGCGGUUCGAACCCGCCGGGGUCCACCA